UACGGAGGAUGCGAGCGUUAUCCGGAUUUACUGGGUUUAAAGGGUGCGCAGGCGGUUGUUUAAGUCAGGGGUGAAAGCCCUAUGCUCAACAUAGGGAUUGCCUUUGAUACUGAACGGCUAGAGUGAAAAUGGAGUGGGUGGAAUGUGUUGUGUAGCGGUGAAAUGCAUAGAUAUAACACAGAACACCGAUCGCGAAGGCAGCUCACUAAUUUUCAACUGACGCUCAUGCACGAAAGCGUGGGGAUCAAACAGG
rnacentral:rRNA from 1 species